GCCGGGGCGGGGCGGAGGGCGCGGGCGCCGGCUGGCCCUCCCGCCGCGGUACCUGUACCUCGGCCCCCCCGGCCGCCUGGCGCAAGCGCAGGGGUCAGCAGCGGCGGCGGGGCCGGUGGGCCCUCGGAGGACAAUGGAAGCCCAUUGUUUUCUUCCCUCUGCCACCUCCCGAGAUGUGGCUUUCUCGGAGGAGAAGCCUCUUUCUGCUCCCCGGGCACAAAGAAAGAUCGCGGGACUCUGGGUUCCAAGAGGGUCCCGAGGUGAUGCGGUCCGUAGGGUGCUCGCAGACAAAAGGACUCCCCCCGCCCGCGGGACGCUCGCGCUAAACCUCGUGUUCCCACCUCCGCCGAUCCCACCAAGCCAACCUAGCCGUGCCAGGCUCCGGCGCGGCGGCGAGCAGCCGAGGCUGGGGGAAGGGGAGCGGUGCCACCUGACUGCGCCGCUCUAGCCGGCCACAGUUCCCGGGGCCUUUCGCUGCCGGGGCUCGUGGGAGAAGGGGAGGGUCGCGUUCUGUCAAUUUCCACUUUGCUCCCCUCGCAGCUGCAGCUAAAACCCGGAGAGCGGAUCUGGCUCCCUGGAGACGCCAGGGCUCCGGGCUGGAAGAGUGGGCGCGCGAAGAAACGCAGACGCUGCAGCGAUUCGUCCGCCUAGGGAAGGACUCAGAGGCAGGAAAGGGAGGCGUUUCCGGUUGUGAAGUCGCAGCCCUUAGGGUUGGCUUGGAGAGGUGGCUGGGACUCCCCGGAGACGACGCUUUGGGUCUGGACCUAGCCCGGAGACUCUCAGGUUGCAUGGAAAUCCUGGCACAAAGCUGAGACCCUCUGGGAGACUUUGGCUUUCCCAAGCAGUAUCAACUUCAGGUCAUCACCGCGAUGGCCCGGGCCUGUCUGAAACCUUAGAGGGUACACGUUAAGCCAACGUUGUAAACCACGGCCCACGAUAAGGUGAAGUUGAAAAGGAAGCGGACACAACUGCUGGAAAGCAAAAUACUUGGGUGGAGUGUUAAAAGCCUCAAAGAAAAUAAUAGUUGGCGGGUCAAAUGGCCAUGAGGCCUGAAGUCAAAUACAAAACUCUGCUGAAGUGAUGUUAGAAAUUUAACAAGCAAAACAGUCCCUGUAGAUAAGAGACCUGGCAUUGUUUCCUUUCUUCAAAUGACAAGGGCUCGAAGUUUCCUUUGGCAGUUACCUGUGUUCUAUUCCAGAUUCCUGAGUUUUACAUAGUGAUCCUAUUUCAAAAUAUAUGUUCCAUUUGGCACUGUUGUAUAUGUUUUACAUAUGAAUUUAUUGAAAAAUAUUAAAUGUUACAGGCCUACUUAGAUAAAGGUAUUUUUGUAAAUAUUUAUGUAUAGCUUUCGUUACAUAUGGUAUUUUUAAAAGUACAAAUAUGUAUGCGUAUAUGUAUAUACAUAUAUAUAAUUCUAAGUGAAAAAUUUCUUUAUACACACAAGCAUUCCUUACACAUAGGUCUUGUGUGAAUUUUUUUCAUUUGCUGUAUUGUUAGCUGCUGAUAAAAGCACUAUAUUUCCAUAGGGCUAGAUAAAUAACUUUUUUACAGUUUCUGCAAACAUGUAGAGUCCAGGUGUUGCAUUUUUUCCCCUGAAACCCUAUUUUCACUCUUCCACACCAUUCUAGAGAGUUUGUUUUGUUUUUAAUGAAACUUCACUUCUAGACUCUAAUUUACUCAGAACCUACCCCUUCAAGGGCCUGGUGGUACUGGUGGGUCUGGCUUCUUUGAUGGAUGCCUAAUUAUUUAUUUGUACUGAACAUCUUCUGUGAGAAAACAUGCCCUCAUAUAGUGAAUUGGUCUUACAAAUUAGUGGAUUUCCUGUACAGCUUAGAGGGCUUUUAGGUUUGAUGGAUUUAGAUUUCGUAUGUUAGGGGCUCUACUACUAGAUGAGAGGAAAGUUUUGCUUCAGGAAGAUUUUAGUGAUUCUAAGAUUUCUGCUCUGAAUUUUGGAAAAGGUUAGCCUUGAAAAAAAUUGGUGGUAACCUUAGAAACCUGAGACUAACACUUGUAGAACACCUGUCAGGCCCAAUAGUGGACUAUUUUACUAUUAGUCUAAUUCAGGAGAGGAGCCAAGGAGUAUUGGCAGUGUCCUUAAUAUCCAGAAAGCAAUCCACUUGCAGGGUGGAGAGCAACUAGUGGCUGUAUACAAGCAAGUACUGACUCGACUUUAGCCACUUGUUACCAAGUGUGGUGCAGAGACCAACCAUACCAAGUCCACCAGAUGCCUGCUCCAUUGGAAUCUUCAUUUUAAUGAGCUGUAAAUGGUUUGCAUGCCAUUUAAUGUUCAAGAAGCACUGACCAUGAGUAGGGGUCUCUACCUCUUAAUGCACAAACUCAUUUUAAAAGCUCACAGGAUUCAUGAACCCCCUUCUGGGAAAACCAACAAUUACACAGAAGCUUUCUCAAACAAUUUUAGCCUUCCCCUGAAGACCUAUCUAUUAAGGGCAAGGAAGUCCUACGUUAGAUCUCCAGUAACAAAACAAGGAGAGUCACUCAACUGUAGUCAGAGAAGUCAGGGGAGGAUUCUUAGAGGAAACAACUUUAAGUGAGCCUUGAGACAUGAGAACAAUUGGGUAGGGAGAGGAGUAGUGGAGGGUAUUUCAGGCAGGUGGAAUGCAUAGGUGAACGGCCUAGAAGAGAAAAGGGUACACCCACGUAUCCAUUUUUAUGCGGGUUAAUGUGAAAUUUAACAAGGAAAUUGUAAUUCCACAGCAGAUUCACCUUGCAAUUCAUUAUCAUCUCUUGAACUUUCAAAAAACGAAGCCAGACUGUAGUAGAGCAGUGGUCAUUUCAUUUUGGGGGAUGAGAAAGAACCCUGUGAUAUGGGGUUUUAUGUAAGACCUCAUUUCCCAUUACUUUCUCUUCUUGCUAACUCAGCCCUGACCACAUUGGCCUUCAAGUGGUUCCAUACUCAAUCUAUCUGCUGGGGCACUUCCCCAAAUCACCCAAACCUCUCUUCUCAGUCAUUAAGAUCUUUAUUCAAUGAGAUUGCAAAGGAAUGGCUUUCCCUUCCCUAUAGCAGCAGCCCUACCCACAUUCCCUUUCCCUGAAUAAAGCAGGAGGAAUAAUUUCUUCAUGACCUGACCGUGGCAUCAUAUUUAUUUAUAGACUCAGUUCUGUCCUGUGUUCCAUAAUGUGUGGACUUGAUGUGCUGUUAGAGCUUCUGUACCUAAAACAGGGCCUGAGCACAUAGUAGGUACUCAAAUAGUUAUUAAAUAAAUAAACCCUUAACUACCAUAA